UCGGGAAUUUUGGGCAAUGGGCGAAAGCCUGACACAGCAACGCCGCGUGAAGGAUGAAGUCCCUCGGGAUGUAAACUUCGUAAGAAUAGGAAGAAUAAAUGACGGUACUAUUUGUAAGGUCCGGCUAACUACGUGCCAGCAGCCGCGGUAAUACGUAGGGACCAAGCGUUGCUCGGAAUCACUGGGCGUAAAGGGUGCGUAGGCGGCUGUGUAAGUCUGGCGUGAAAGCCCAGGGCUCAGCCCUGGAAGGGCGCUAGAAACUGCGCGGCUAGAGUGCCGGAGGGGAGAGUGGAAUUCCUGGUGUAGCGGUGAAAUGCGUAGAUAUCAGGAGGAAUACCGGUGGCGAAAGCGACUCUCUGGACGGCAACUGACGCUGAGGCACGAAAGCGUGGGGAGCAAACAGGAUUAGAUACCCUUGUAGUCCCUGAGCGGGCUGGCAAGGCGCAU
rnacentral:rRNA from 1 species